rnacentral:rRNA from 1 species
AGAUUGAACGCUGGCGGCAUGCUUUACACAUGCAAGUCGAGCGGCAGCGCGGGGGCAACCCGGGCGGCGAGCGGCGAACGGGUGAGUAACACAUCGGAACGUAUCCCGUAGAGGGGGAUAGCCCGGCGAAAGCCGGAUUAAUACCGCAUAUGCUCUACGGAGGAAAGUGGGGGACCUGCAAGGGCCUCACGCUAUGGGAGCGGCCGAUGGCCGAUUAGCUAGUUGGUGGGGUAAAGGCCUACCAAGGCGACGAUCGGUAGCUGGUCUGAGAGGAUGAUCAGCCACACUGGGACUGAGACACGGCCCAGACUCCUACGGGAGGCAGCAGUGGGGAAUUUUGGACAAUGGGGGCAACCCUGAUCCAGCCAUGCCGCGUGCGGGAAGAAGGCCUUCGGGUUGUAAACCGCUUUUGGUCGGGAAGAAAAGGCAACUUUUAAUACGGGUUGUUCUUGACGGUACCGGCAGAAUAAGCACCGGCUAACUACGUGCCAGCAGCCGCGGUAAUACGUAGGGUGCGAGCGUUAAUCGGAAUUACUGGGCGUAAAGAGUGCGUAGGCGGUUGCUGAAGUCCGCUGUGAAAGCCCCGGGCUCAACCUGGGAAUGGCAGUGGAAACUAGGCGACUUGAAUCUGGCAGAGGGGGGUGGAAUGCCGCGUGUAGCAGUGAAAUG